rnacentral:rRNA from 2 species
ACGGGAGGCAGCAGUGGGGAAUAUUGCACAAUGGAGGAAACUCUGAUGCAGCGAUGCCGCGUGAGGGAAGAAGGUUCUCGGAUUGUAAACCUCUGUCAUCAGGGACGAUAAUGACGGUACCUGAGAAGGAAGCUCCGGCUAACUACGUGCCAGCAGCCGCGGUAAUACGUAGGGAGCGAGCGUUGUCCGGAAUUACUGGGUGUAAAGGGAGCGCAGGCGGGAUUUUAAGUCAGGUGUGAAAACUACGGGCUCAACCUGUAGACUGCACUUGAAACUGAGAUUCUUGAGUGAAGUAGAGGUAGGCGGAAUUCCUAGUGUAGCGGUGAAAUGCGUAGAUAUUAGGAGGAACAUCAGUGGCGAAGGCGGCCUACUGGGCUUUUACUGACGCUCAUGCUCGAAAGCGUGGGGAGCAAACAGGAUUAGAUACCCUGGUA